GAUGAACGCUGGCGGCGUGCCUAAUACAUGCAAGUCGAACGAACAGACGCGGCUCUUUCUCCUCUGACGUUAGCGACGGACGGGUGAGUAACACGUGGAUAACCUCCCUAUACGACUUGAAUAACUUCGGCUAACCCUAGCACCUACCGGAUCAUAUAUUGAACCGCAUGGUUCAAUAGUUAAAGCCGUUUUUGCUGUCACUUCUGGCUGUCUCCGCGCUGCAUUAGUUAUUUGCUACGGUGACGUCCUACGAAGGCAGGCAUGCGUAGCCGACCUGAGAGGGUGGUCGGCCACACUGGAACGGAGACAGGGUCCAGACUCCUGAGGGAGGCAGCAGUAGGGAAUCGUCGGCAGCAGGCGAAAGCCUGACGGAGCAAGGGCGCGUGAGUGAUGAAGGCGUUGGGUGCGUAAAGCUCGGUUAUUGGGUAAGAACAAAUGUCUAAGGAAAUAUAGACGUCGUGACGGUACCUAAACAGAAAGCCACGGCUAACUACGUG
rnacentral:rRNA from 1 species